GUCCAAUCCAGGAUCACGACAGACAGCGAUAAUACAAAUUUAAAGAAGAAAGAAAAUUUAAGAAAAAUAUUUCGUUUAUGUAAAAUGGUACAGUAGUAUAGUAAAGAGAAAAGCAUAUUCUGAAAAUAUUUCUAGUAAAAAGUUAUAAUGGAUAUUUUUCUUACGUCGCCGUCUCGCUUCGGAUGCUGGCGAUCCAACUGGCUAUGAUGGUGCGUGAAACCGCACCUCUGAAAAUUUGGGAGCGCCAAGAAUUUCCUAAUUCUACUUUUUCCUAAUAUUACGAUUGCGUCCGAACAUCUUCGGAAAGUAAAAAACACUGUUGCCAGUAUUCUCAUAUUUUCGUAAGUAUAUCAGACAGAGUGAAUUAUUGUUCGUUACUGAACGGAGUGAAUUAUUGUGAAUUGAAAAUGGAAGGAUUAUUUAAAAAGGAAGCCAGAAGAUCCUCUCAAAGUGGAGGACAAGUACUGGCAGCUGGAUAAUCCAACUCCGAUUGGAUCCGCAAUUAUAUGAAGAUAUAGAUGUGAAAAUAAUAAUAGUGGAAUAUAUUAGCGGUAAGUAAAAAUAAGUACCUCGGUCUCUGUCUCGGUCUUAUAGUUUUGACAGUAGUUGGCUCCCAAAUAAUUUAAAAUGAAUUAUAAUUUUAAUUCGUAAUGAAUAAUGUGUAACGUAAAUUUUUAUCUAUAUAUUUUUACAGAUUAUUGCCAAGAAGGUGAUUUCUAGUAGUUCGAGCAGCAACGGUGGCAAAAUGGUGUCUAGUUAGUUACCAUAGUUACAAUAGAACAAAAAGGUAGGUGUAGGUAUACCUACGCUCACCUUCAGUAGCAGUUUUUCACCAGCCACCCGCAGUUCGCAGUCACUAGAAUACCAGAGGGACUACGGUUUGAUUUAUUUUAUUUUAUCAUACAUUUAUAUUUUAUAAUAAACCAUUUCAUAUAAUACCAACUUCCAUGCUUUAUUUUGACCGACUUAAAGUUCAUGAAUAAAUUCGAAAUAU